UACAGAGGUCUCAAGCGUUGUUCGGAUUCAUUGGGCGUAAAGGGUGCGUAGGUGGCGCCGUAAGUCAGGUGUGAAAUUUCGGAGCUUAACUCCGAAACUGCAUUUGAUACUGCGGUGCUUGAGGACUGGAGAGGAGACUGGAAUUCACGGUGUAGCAGUGAAAUGCGUAGAUAUCGUGAGGAAGACCAGUGGCGAAGGCGAAUCUCUGGACAGAUCCUGACGCUGAGGCACGAAGGCCAGGGGAGCAAACGGG
rnacentral:rRNA from 1 species